AAUUAAAAUUUUCUAUCUAUUUUUAUUGUUAAAAAUUUAUGAUUGACGGAAUAACCAAAUAUUUACACACAUAGCUUGCCUAGUACAUCUCAUUUCGACGUACAAGGAUCAGUUUUUAAGAUUAGAAAUGAACGAAAUUUUUAACA
rnacentral:pre_miRNA from 1 species